GAUAAACGCUGGCGGCGUGCCUAAAACAUGCAAGUCGAACGGAUGUUGAUCUUCGGAAUCAACAUGAGUGGCGGACGGCUGAGUAACACGUGGGUGACCUGCCUUCGAGCGGGGGAUAACUGCCCGAAAGGGUGGCUAAUACCGCAGAUGUCAGUGAUUCGGUUCACUGACUGAACCUCAAGGGGUUCGGAGAGGGGCCCGCGGCCGAUUAGCUAGCUGGUGGGGUAACGGCCUACCAGGGCAACGAUCGGUAGCUGGUCUGAGAGGAUGAUCAGCCAGACUGGGACUACGAACGGCCCAGACUCCUACGGGAGGCAGCAGUUAGGAAUUUUGGGCAAUGGGCGAAAGCCUGACCCAGCAACGCCGCGUGGGUGAUGAAGGCCCUCGGGUCGUAAAGCCCUUUUCCCAGGGACGAUAGUGACGGUACCUGGGGAAUCAGCCCCGGCUAACUACGUGCCAGCAGCCGCGGUAAUACGUAGGGGGCAAGCGUUGUCCGGAUUUAUUGGGCGUAAAGCGCUCGCAGGUGGUUCGCUGCGUCGUGCGUGAAAGACCCCGGCUCAACUGGGGAGGGUCGUGCGAUACGGGCGAACUGGAGGCCAGUAGGGGGAUGCGGUAUUCCGGGUGUAGUGGUGGAAUGCGUAGAGAUCCGGAGGAACACCAGCGGCGAAGGCGGCAUCCUGGACUGGUCCUGACACUCAUGAGCGAAAGCGUGGGGAGCGAUCCGGAUUAGAUACCCGGGUAGUCCACGCCGUAAACGAUGAGUACUAGGUGUCGGGGGUAUCGACCCCCUCGGUGCCGCAGCCAACGCGAUAAGUACUCCGCCUGGGGACUACGGCCGCAAGGCUA
rnacentral:rRNA from 1 species